rnacentral:rRNA from 1 species
UACAGAGGGUGCAAGCGUUGUUCGGAAUCAUUGGGCGUAAAGGGCGCGUAGGUGGCCCCUCAAGCGUGCGGUGAAAGUCAGGGGCUCAACCCCUGAUCGGCCGUGCGAACUGGGGAGCUUGAGCACUGUAGAGGCAGGCGGAAUUCCGGGUGUAGGCGGUGGAAUGCGCAGAUAUCAGGAGGAACACCGACGGCGAAGGCAGGCUUACUGGGCCGAUACUGACGCUGAGGAGCGAAAGCGUGGGGAGCGAACAGG